GAUGAACGCUGGCGGCGUGCCUAAUACAUGCAAGUCGAGCGAACAGAUGCGGAUCUUGCUCCUCUCACGUUAGCGGCGGACGGGUGAGUAACACGUGGAUACCCUACCUAUCAGACUGGGAUAACUUCGGGAAACCGGAUCUAAUCCCGGAUAAUAUCUUGAACCGCAGUGGUCGAUGGUGAGAGACGGCUUUGCGGUCACUUAUAGAUGCUUCUGCGCCGCAUUGGCUAGUUGGUAAGGUAACGGCUUACCAAGGCAACGAUGCGUAGCCGACCUGAGAGGGUGAUAGCCGACACGGGAACUGGAACGCGGUCAAGACUACUGAGAGAGGCAGCAGUAGGGAAUGUGCCGCAAUGGGCGAGAGCCUGACGGAGCAACGCGGCGUGAGUGAUGAAGGUCUUCGGAUCGGAAAACUCUGUUAUUAGGGAAGAACAACUGUGUAAGUAACUAUGCACGUAUUGACGGUAACUGAUCAGAAAGCAACGGCUAACUACGUG
rnacentral:rRNA from 1 species